UACGGGGGGGCAAGCGUUGUUCGGAAUUACUGGGCGUAAAGGGCUCGUAGGCGGCCAACUAAGUCGGAUGUGAAAUCCCCAGGCUCAACCUGGGAACUGCAUCCGAUACUGGAUGGCUUGAAUUCGGGAGAGGGAUGCAGAAUUCCAGGUGUAGCGGUGAAAUGCGUAGAUAUCUGGAGGAACACCGGUGGCGAAGGCGGCAUCCUGGACCGGCAUCGACGCUGAGGCGCGAAAGCCAGGGGAGCAAAGCGGG
rnacentral:rRNA from 1 species